CAAUGUGAUUGGAUGAUGGGU
rnacentral:miRNA from 1 species